GCUGGCGUAGCUCAAUCGGCAGAGCAGCGGUUUUGUAAACCGCAGGUUGGAGGUUCAAUUCCUCUCGCCAGCUCCA
rnacentral:tRNA from 1 species